UACGUAGGGUGCGAGCGUUAAUCGGAAUUACUGGGCGUAAAGCGUACGCAGGCGGCUUUGCAAGACAGGUGUGAAAUCCCCGGGCCUAACCUGGGAACUGCAUUUGUGACUGCAUGGCUAGAGUUUGUCAGAGGGGGGUGGAAUUCCACGUGUAGCAGUGAAAUGCGUAGAUAUGUGGAGGAACACCGAUGGCGAAGGCAGCCCCCUGGGAUGUGACUGACGCUCAGGCACGAAAGCGUGGGGAGCAAACAGG
rnacentral:rRNA from 1 species